rnacentral:rRNA from 2 species
ACGAACGCUGGCGGCGUCCUAAUACAUGCAAGUCGAACGAAACUUUCUUACACCGAAUGCUUGCAUUCACCGUAAGAAGUUGAGUGGCGGACGGGUGAGUAACACGUGGGUAACCUGCCUAAAAGAAGGGGAUAACACUUGGAAACAGGUGCUAAUACCGUAUAUCUCUAAGGAUCGCAUGAUCCUUAGAUGAAAGAUGGUUCUGCUAUCGCUUUUAGAUGGACCCGCGGCGUAUUAACUAGUUGGUGGGGUAACGGCCUACCAAGGUGAUGAUACGUAGCCGAACUGAGAGGUUGAUCGGCCACAUUGGGACUGAGACACGGCCCAAACUCCUACGGGAGGCAGCAGUAGGGAAUCUUCCACAAUGGACGCAAGUCUGAUGGAGCAACGCCGCGUGAGUGAAGAAGGUCUUCGGAUCGUAAAACUCUGUUGUUAGAGAAGAACACGAGUGAGAGUAACUGUUCAUUCGAUGACGGUAUCUAACCAGCAAGUCACGGCUAACUACGUGCCAGCAGCCGCGGUAAUACGUAGGUGGCAAGCGUUGUCCGGAUUUAUUGGGCGUAAAGGGAACGCAGGCGGUCUUUUAAGUCUGAUGUGAAAGCCUUCGGCUUAACCGGAGUAGUGCAUUGGAAACUGGAAGACUUGAGUGCAGAAGAGGAGAGUGGAACUCCAUGUGUAGCGGUGAAAUGCGUAGAUAUAUGGAAGAACACCAGUGGCGAAAGCGGCUCUCUGGUCUGUAACGAGACGCUGAGGUUCGAAAGCG